rnacentral:tRNA from 1 species
GCGACCAUGGUGGAAUUGGUAGACACGCAGCGUUGAGGUCGCUGUCGCGCAAGCGGUGGAAGUUCGAGUCUUCUUGGUCGCACCA